rnacentral:rRNA from 1 species
ACGGGGCCCGCACAAGCGGAGGAACAUGUGGUUAAUUCGAUGAUACGCGAGGAACCUUACCUGGGCUUAAAUGUAGAGUGCAUUUUUUAGAGAUAGAAAUUCCCUUCGGGGCUUUUCUGCAAGGUGCUGCAUGGUUGUCGUCAGCUCGUGCCGUGAGGUGUCGGGUUAAGUCCCAUAACGAGCGCAACCCUUAUCGUUAGUUGCCAUCUGGUAAUGCAGGGGACUCUAGCGAAACUGCCACCGUAAGGUGAGAGGAAGGUGGGAUGACGUCAAAUCAGCACGGCCCUUAUGUCCAGGGCUACACACGUGUUACAAUGGUCGGUACAGAGGGCAGCUACCUGGUGACAGGAUGCUAAUCUCGAAAACCGGUCUCAGUUCGGAUCGAAGUCUGCAACUCGACUUCGUGAAGCUGGAUUCGCUAGUAAUCGCGCAUCAGCUAUGGCGCGGUGAAUACGUUCCCGGGCCUU